UACGUAGGGUGCAAGCGUUGUCCGGAAUUAUUGGGCGUAAAGAGCUUGUAGGCGGUUUGUCGCGUCUGCUGUGAAAUUUCGGGGCUCAACCCCGAACUUGCAGUGGGUACGGGCAGACUAGAGUGUGGUAGGGGAGACUGGAAUUACUGGUGUAGCAGUGAAAUGCGUAGAGAUCAGUAGGAACACCAAUGGCGAAGGCAGCUGCUGGCAUGUUCUGACGCUAAGGCACGAAAGCGUGGGUAGCGAACGGG
rnacentral:rRNA from 1 species